rfam:Triticum aestivum genome assembly, contig: Triticum_aestivum_CS42_TGACv1_scaffold_556259_7AL
GUAGUACUUCCUCCGUUCCGAAUUACUUGUCUUAGAUUUGUCUAGAUACGGAGGUAUCUAGCACUAAAAUGAGUCUAAAUACAUCAGUCUAGAUACAUCUGUAUCUGGACAAAUCCAAGACAAUUAAUUCGGAACGGAGGGAGUAGUAU